rnacentral:lncRNA from 1 species
GGUACAGUCCGUCACGGCAGAGAAGGCAGAGCACGUUCAAUGGUAUCCGUGGCUGUGGUGGUGGGAACACAAGGCUGCUUGGUUACAUCCCAGGAAGCAGAGAGCCUAUGAGGAAGAUGGUCCAGUCUAUAACCUACCUUAGUGCUGGUUGCUGGGUGACUCAUUUCCUCCAAUUGAACUCCACUUCUAAAGCUUCCACAAGCUUCCGAAGACAGCACUGCCAGCAAAAACCAAAGUGUUCAAUCACAUGAGCCCGUGAGCAGCGUUUCCUAUCAAAGCAAAAUACUCAGCCGGGCGUGGUGGCACAUGCCUUUAAUCCCAGCACUCGGGAGGCAGAGGCAGGCAGAUUUCUGAGUUUGAGGCCAGCCUGGUCUACAAAGUGAGUUUCCCGACAGCCAGGGCUAUACAGAGAAACCCUGUCUCGAAAAACCAAAAAAACAAACAAAAACAAAAAGACAAAAAAAAAAAAAAAUAACACUCUUCAAAGUCAAGGUUCUUUUAGGACCUCAGAGGCACAGCCAAACUUUCCUCUCUUUUUCUCUCUCUGUCUCUGUCUCUGUCUCUGUCUCUGUCUCUGUCUCUCUACACACACACACACACACACACACACACACACACACACACACCUCCCUACAGCAAUGGCUCCUCAUCACUAUGGUGACUUUAGGUCCAUCCCCCUCUACAUAUCACACAGUCCACUCAUCCCUAAGUUAUAGAACUGUACAUUUCUAACUGCCUGUGUUCCUUUACCUUUUUUUAAAAUAAUUUUUUCUUUGCUUUAUUACAGAAGAUGCUUCCAUCUUGAUCCAUCUCAACUCAACAAGUGCUACCCGAGGCUCUACUAUAUCCCGACAUUAUUCUUCACACCAUUCCCUCUCUCUUCUUCCGUCUUUAGUCUCCCAUUCUCUUUUCAGAUUUCCUCUGCAGAGAGAGUGACAGCCCUCAAGUACACUCAUAUACUUGAAACAGAAUUCUCCUGCUGAAGAAUGUAUUUCAAAAUAAAUGUUUUCAUUUGAUGUGAAGGGAUGCCAGUUGGGGCCAGGGUGCGUAGAUCAGACUCUGUCUGCAGACAAUAUGCUCUACACUGUAAUUUCAUAGUGUGGGCUCUUUAUUCUCAGUUGAACUUUUUGUUCCUAGCUUUUAAAGACAUACCUUCAAAUACCUUUUAGAACAGCUAGGUCAGGUUGUUCUACCAACUUUUAUGUUUUGUUUUGUUUUGGUUUGUUUUGUUUUGGUUUUUAUGGAGAAGAGAGCAGGAAGAUUGUAAGAGCGGAGGUUGGGAGAACAGAGUGCAGCUGUGGGGACAUUCAAGAGAACUGUAAUCCUGAACUCACAGCAGCUGUGCCUGCCUGCACAAGAGCAAGCCAGUCAGUUUCAGCAGGGAGCAGGAGGGCUCCUGAGGUCCACCCCUAGCGGAGAAGCUAUUACAGAUGGUGGAUGAUUCGAGAGGCUAUUUUCUUGAAGUGUAAAGCUCCUGGUAGGUUGACAAUGCUCCAAUGGCUGCCCAAAACCUAUGGCUGUAUGGGAAGCACACAUCAGACUGGGUGGGUUAUUUAUAAAAACAAAAUGUCUGGACAUAGUAGCACAUACUUUUAAAUCUAGCACCCAGGAGACAGAAAGAGCUAGAUCUCUGAAUUUGGGGACGGACAGGUCUAUAUAGAGAGACUGUAACUCAAAAAAGAAAAAACCAUGAGGUUAAGAGGAGGGGAGUGAGGAAUCUGAGAAAGGCUAGGAGAAAGAAUGGGAGGUGAAUACAGAAAAAAUAUAUUAAAUGUAUUUAUUAAAUUCUCAAAUAAUAAAUAAAGAUAUUUACGAAACCUUGCUGGGGGGGGGCGUGGUGGUGGUGGCAAACACCUUUAACUCCAGCACUGAGAGGCCAAGGCAGGCAGAUCUUUGAGUUCCAGGACAGUCUGGUCUAUAUAAGUGAGUUCCAGGAGAGCUAGGGCUAUACAGAGAAACCCUGUCUCUAAAAAUCAAAACAUAAACAAAUACAAAACAAAACAAAAACCAAACAACUCCCUCAACCAAACCAAACCAAACCAAACCAAACCAAACAACCCAAACAUUUAUGGUCUCUACUUGGUUUCCAAAGGUGGUGAAAUCCAGCCAGAACAGGUGGAUGCCUCACGAGGAGUCACUCCUGCCCAAACAUGUUAUCUACACUCCAAUGUCCUUAAGUGGCAGUAAUAAUCCCGCAGUCUAGAAGAAAACAGGUUAAUUAGAUGCAGGUAAAACUAUUUACGUUGCUAGGUAACUAAAGAAAGUCAUGAUUAUUAAGUAGCUUUUUAUAUAAACAGAAUCACUGGGAAGACAAGGAUCUACAAAUCAUACAGUUGUAGAAAUACUCUAAAUUUUAUUGUCUCCAUAUUUAUAUCACAAGUGUCACUCACACACUCAUUUAUAAAUCAUUAGUUAAGCACCUUCUAUGUGACAUGUACUGUGCUCUGAGCUGAAGAACCAACAAUACAGUGAUAUUUCAAUCCCACAGCACUACAUAGUCACACACAAAACACAUUCUUUUGUCAUUGAUAAAAUGGUUUACCUUUCUAUGAGGACUAAUCUUGGUUGUCAACUUGACUAUGUCUUGAAGCAACUGAAAUCCAAGCAACUGGGUAUACCAGUAAGUGAUUUUCUUGCCUGGAUCUUUGAGUUAUGAAGAAUCACCCUAAAUCUGAGCUUUCCCGUGUGCUGGCAGCCCACAUUUAAGGGCAGGGACAAGGGAGCUUUUGCUUUGUUGCCUGUUUGUCCUGACUUUCAGUGACAAGGUCGGUCAUAUACCCUGCUGAUGAGGCAUUUUUUGGCUGGUAUUAGAACCUCGUUCAUUGGGAGCUCCAACAUAGACAAAGACCAACUGAGACAUCCAACCUCAUGUAUGGAACAAUUAUGAGAUCCUUGGUCUUUCCUUUGAGAGACAGAUAUUGUUGGACAAGUCGGACCACAGUCUAUAAGCCACCACUCUAAUAAAUCCCCUUUUAUUAUAUAAAUAUUCAAACCAUCAGUUCCUUUCUGAGAACCCAACUAAUAUACCUUCCAGUCAUAGGAAUUAUUAAUUUACUUUUACAAUGUUUAUCUUUUGAGAGCCUACUAUGUCCUAGGCACUGGUGUAGGCACAAUGUUUUUAUGCACUGUAUACAAAUUAUCCUUGUAUUAUUCAAAUGCGGAUUUCUCUGCUCCCAUAUCAUGUGGCAAUCUGGACAUGGCAUUGUAAUGAUUAUUCUAUGUAUCUCUUGUUUCAAGUUUAUGUAAAUAUUGUUCCCCAUUUAUUCUCUGACUUGUCAAUAAAAGCUGAUCAGCCAGUGGCUUGGCAGAAAAGAGAAUAGGGCUGGACUUCCCAUCCCAGCCAGGAGAGGAGUAGAGAGAAGAAGAGAGGGCUCACCAUGAGAAAGGUCGAGAGGAGAAACCAUGGAAAAACAUCUGGAGCUGAGAGAGUCAGAUCAUUAUUAAAAUGCAAGUAUCUUGGGGAUUUUGGCUGGGAGGUAGCCAGAUUAUCUCACAGGAUUAGAAUAGAUCAAUGACUGCCCAGUUAUUCUGCCAUAAAGCUUGAUUAAAU